GCCGUUGCACAGAAGUGGAUGUCUGAUCGAACAGAUGAUCUAGGGAUUACACAGAGCCGAUUGUGAAGGGAACCGCUGCAGGACAACCGCCCCUCCCUCCAGUCUGCCUCCAAAGAAAAGGGAGGGGAGGAUCUAUUGCAGGAAGACUGAAACUGCCCCCAACAGCUAUAGGCACAGGUAUGGACCAGCAUGUAUGGUGUCUACUGUCCUGGGGAUUGAACCCAGGGCUUUGCCUGCGUUGCACCAGCACUCUGCAGCCUGAGCUACUCUCCAGUCUCAAUUGGGGUAAACCUGGUUAGCCAGACACACUUGUGUCUCUCAAGACGAAGAUGCACACUCAAGAAGUCCUUCAUCACACACUGCCCAGUGACCACCCCAUGUUCUCCUGACUAGAAGUGAGCCGAGAAGGUCACACUGGGGCCUCUGCCUACCUGGCAGCAAUGCAUCUUUCACAUCCUUACCUCAGAGGUCAUUUCCUCCCCUCACUUGGUCCAGCGCUUGGAAAAAAUAAGUCAGUCUUAGUACUUACAAAAUGAAGACCUCUGUGGCUCAGGAGUUAAGAGUACUUCUUGUUCUUUCUGAGGACCCAAGUCUAUUCCAGGCACCCACAUCUGGAGGCUCACAACCACCAGAAGUAACUCCAACUCCAGAGGAUCUGUGAGCUCUGCAAACACCUACAGAGCAUGUACACAUAGCCACACACAGACACGUGAUGGGGAGCCUGCUGGAAACGGAGCUUGAGUCCUCUCCUCUGCAAGACCAGCCAGUGCUUUUAACCACUAAGCCAGCUCCCCAGAUGUUAAGCACUGAGCC